AUAAAUGGUUAUAAUUUACCAUUAUACAAGGUGCAGGUGUGUGUGUAACUGGCUUGAAAAAACAUCUGGAAGAUGAAAACAUCGAUUGUCUUCACUCUUUUGGCCUUGAUCGGAGUAGGCGCCAUAAUGGUGGCAGGUGAUGAUGUACCUUGUCCCGACGGGGAUCCGAACGCGGUAUACGUUGAAUGUCCUUCGAACUGCCAGCCAACAUGCCAGAAGAAGAUACCUGAUGAAAUCUGCAAUUUCGCGUGUUUGCCUAGACAAUGCGUCUGCAAACCGGGUUAUAUUCUAGAAAAGAAGGAUGGCCAGUGCAUCCCCGAAAAUAACUGUUAAAAACAAAUAAUAAAAACAAUAUAUUUUUGGUGUCAGAUAUCAUUAUAUAUAUUUAUUUUAUUAAAACAGAGGCAAUAAAAAGUUAUAUUACUAUUAUAAUUUGUA